CACGUAGUUAGCCGUGGCUUAUUCAUUCGGUACCGUCACUUUCUUCGUCCCGAAUAAAAGAAGUUUACAACCCGAAAAGCCUUCUUCCUUCACGCGGCGUUGCUGGGUCAGGCUUGCGCCCAUUGCCCAAUAUUCCCCACUGACUGCCUCCCGUAGGAGUCUGGGCCGUGUCUCAGUCCCAAUGUGGCCGGCCAACCUCUCAGUCCGGCUACUGAUCGUCGCCUUGGUGGGCCAUUACCCCGCAACUAGCUAAUCAGACGCGAGCUCAUCUCAGAGCGAUAAAUCUUUGGCAUCCAAACCAUGCGACUCAGAUGACAUCAAUGCGGUAUUAGCGGUCUGUUUCCAGUCCGUUAUUCCCCCAUUCCAAGGUCAGGAUUGCUCACGCGUUACUCCACCGUUCCGCCACUUUCCUCAGUCCUUCCCUCACGACGAAUCCUUGUUCCACUGAUUCUCGUUCGACUUGCAUGUUGUUAAGCACGCCGCCAGUCGU
rnacentral:rRNA from 1 species